rnacentral:rRNA from 1 species
AAGCGGUGGAUGAUGUGGAUUAAUUCGAUGCAACGCGAAAACCUUACCUACCCUUGACAUGUCCGGAAUCCUGCAGAGAUGCGGGAGUGCCCGAAAGGGAAUCGGAACACAGGUGCUGCAUGGCUGUCGUCAGCUCGUGUCGUGAGAUGUUGGGUUAAGUCCCGCAACGAGCGCAACCCUUAUCAUUAGUUGCUACGCAAGGGCACUCUAAUGAGACUGCCGGUGACAAACCGGAGGAAGGUGGGGAUGACGUCAAGUCCUCAUGGCCCUUAUAGGUGGGGCUACACACGUCAUACAAUGGCCGGUACAGAGGGUAGCCAACCCGCGAGGGGGAGCCAAUCCCACAAAGCCGGUCGUAGUCCGGAUCGCAGUCUGCAACUCGACUGCGUGAAGUCGGAAUCGCUAGUAAUCGCGGAUCAGCAUGUCGCGGUGAAUACGUUCCCGGGUCUU